rnacentral:rRNA from 1 species
UGGGGAAUUUUUCGCAAUGGGGGCAACCCUGACGAAGCAAUGCCGCGUGGAUGAUGAAGUAUCUCGGUACGUAAAAUCCUUUCGACGGGGACGAAACCGCAAGGUUGACGGUACCCGUAGAAGAAGCCCCGGCUAACUCCGUGCCAGCAGCCGCGGUAAUACGGGGGGGGCAAGCGUUGUUCGGAAUUACUGGGCGUAAAGGGUGAGUAGGCGGCUCUCUAAGUCGGAUGUGAAAACUCUGGGCUCAACCCAGAGCCUGCAUCUGAAACUGGAGAGCUAGGGUUUUGGAGGGGAAAGCGGAAUUCCAGGUGUAGCGGUGAAAUGCGUAGAUAUCUGGAGGAACACCGGUGGCGAAGGCGGCUUUUUGGACAAAUACCGACGCUGAGGCACGAAAGCUAGGGGAGCAAACAGG